GAUCCUGGCUCAGAUUGAACGCUGGCGGCAGGCCUAACACAUGCAAGUCGAACGGUAACAGGAAGAAGCUUGCUUCUUUGCUGACGAGUGGCGGACGGGUGAGUAAUGUCUGGGAAACUGCCUGAUGGAGGGGGAUAACUACUGGAAACGGUAGCUAAUACCGCAUAAUGUCGCAAGACCAAAGAGGGGGGACCUUCGGGCCUCUUGCCAUCGGAUGUGCCCAGAUGGGAUUAGCUAGUAGUGGGG
rnacentral:rRNA from 1 species